GCGGCCUAUCAGCUUGUUGGUGAGGUAAUGGCUCACCAAGGCAACGACGGGUAGCCGGCCUGAGAGGGCGACCGGCCACACUGGGACUGAGACACGGCCCAGACUCCUACGGGAGGCAGCAGUGGGGAAUAUUGGGCAAUGGACGCAAGUCUGACCCAGCGACGCCGCGUGCGGGAUGAAGGCCUUCGGGUUGUAAACCGCUUUCAGCAGGGAAGAAGCGAAAGUGACGGUACCUGCAAAAGAAGCACCGGCUAACUAUGUGCCAGCAGCCGCGGUAAUACAUAGGGUGCAAGCGUUGUCCGGAAUUAUUGGGCGUAAAGAGUUCGUAGGUGGUUCGUUACGUCGGAUGUGAAGAUCUGGGGCUCAACCCCAGACCUGCAUUCGAUACGGGCGAGCUAGAGUUUGGUAGGGGAGACUGGAAUUCCU
rnacentral:rRNA from 1 species